rnacentral:piRNA from 1 species
UGACUCUCAACCUAUAUUUCGUA